rnacentral:pre_miRNA from 1 species
CAAGUACUCCCUCCGUUCGAAAUUACUUGUCCAAAAAAUGAAUGUAUCUAGAUGUAUUUUAGUUGUAGAUACAUUCAUUUUUGUGACAAGUAAUUCCGAACGGAGGGAGUAGUCC